rnacentral:misc_RNA from 1 species
UCUCCAGCGGCUACGCCAUCGACAGGUCAGGAGGACCGCAGCUAGCCUUCCAAGAUGCCGCACCCUAAGUGCUGCUGGUUUCCAGCUCUCUACUUCUUCCACUAAGCCUACAAAGCUUAAUGUCACCAUCAGUUUGAUCCAGAGCAUCUUGAGCAUGAUCAUCCUUUGUUGGACCCUGCCUUGUUCCAUUCAAGUAACAGCCAUUAAAAGUCCAAAGCACUUUUUACACAAAUAUAUUCUCACAGCUAGAGCAUCAAGAAAGGCCAAAGAAGAUUUGAAGUGUAGGAAUGAUAGUUGCCUCUACGAUUAGCAUCGAAAAGAUUAACUAAUCGAUAAAAGUGGCCUGGGAUAAAGGAAUCUUGGUAAGUUGUCAAUUAAAAACUGAUGGCUUGGUUGAUCGCAUUGGUCUUUUUGACUUUAGUUCCGUUCUUAUCACAUCAAAAUUCAAUAGAUUACGUGACUAGUUGUAGGGAAAGAUCAAGCGAAGCAUUAAAGCCUGAUCUGGAAGUUCAGUGUAUGCGCGGCCUGCACUUUGCCUGUGGAUGGACAUGCCUUUUAAGCUUCAUGAUGCUUCUGUUAGCUGCCCUUUUGGAGCAUGCCUGUUCUGUAUUAUUUUUUUUAUGAUGCUGUGAAUAUAUAUGUUAUCUAUAGCUAGGAUAAAUCUAUAGAUUGGG